rnacentral:tRNA from 1 species
GCGCCCGUAGCUCAGCUGGAUAGAGCAUCGGACGACGAAUCUGUGGGACAGACGUUCGAAUCGUUCCGGGCGCGCCA